UUAAGUGUAGGGUGGUGAUGUUGGGUGUAUUUAUGCAUUCUAGUGUCACUAUUCUAGCCUUUUAGCCUUGUUUUGAGGAUGAUUCAUGUGCUAUAUAGGUUAAUAGUGAGGUAAAUAUAUAUCAAAGUGUUAAAGCAUGUGUUUACAACGAUCAAAGUGAAUUCCAACCAAGUUUUUAUUUAAUUAAGUCAUUUAGAGUUCAACCCAAAAAACUAGUGUUACUAGCUUGAGCUAGG
rnacentral:lncRNA from 1 species